CGCUCACCGUCGCUGCUCCCAAUUGUCGCAAGCCUCCGUGGCUCGUCAUCGUAGCUCACAUCGUCGUCUCGUCGCUCACCAUCGUGCACUCACUAGAUAAUCAUUCUCUGAUUCACUCUCUAUCUUCUCUUUCUUGCUCAUUACCUCACUUCUUCUCUCGUUUCAGUGUCGAAGAAGGUGCGUGUGGCUAUGAUGAUGAUGAUGAACAACAAUGGCCAAACGAGACAGAGAUGGUAGCUGAAGUGAGACAGAGAGGUAGCGUUUGGUUACUGAGACACAGACACUGAGACAUAGACACAGUGGUACACGGUGACACAUGUCUGCUGUUUGGUUUGGUGAGACACAGAUUUUCGAAGGACACGGGAGGACACGGAUGGACACGGAGACACUAAAUUUGUGUACCUCCAAUUUGGUGAGACACUGAGACACAACUUGUGAGACACUAAUUUUUUACUCUUUUACCCUUAUUGAGUUUUUAAAAUUUGUCUUCUUAUCUUCCCAAAUCUUUUUUUUUCUCUUUCUCUUUUAGAUUCUACAACUAAAUUUACUUUUCUAUUUUUUUCAAAAAAAAAAUUUGUACAUUUAAUUUUUUUUAUUUAUUUAAAUUUUGAUUAAUCUUUGAUAAAUUCUAAACUUUAAUUUUUUAUUUUUUUUCAAGAACAAUUAUAUAUUUAAUAUUUAAAUGAUAAUUUAAGAUGGUAUUAGAAGAAAUAAAAAAUUAUUAGAAGAAAUAAAAAUUUAAUGGUGAUGGCAUGCAUUGUUUGGGAUAAUAGGUGUAUUGUAAUAGUGGUAAAACUUGUGGUUGAUUGAAAGGUAAUUUAGUCUUUUUUAAAUAUAUGUGUCUUAUUUUUUAUUUUUGCCAAACACAAUACAUAGACACAAAUAUUUUAUGUCCAUGUCUUUAAUGUCUGUGUCUCUGUGUCUAUGUCUCAUCAAAUACAUCAACCAAACGGAGUCAGAGUUUCUAACAUGGCAGGGGUUACGAAAGAGGAAGUUCGAAUUGUGGCAUCUUCCUAUCGAAUUUGUCCUUUAGGGGCUCAUAUUGAUCACCAGGUACUUAAGUAUAUGUCUUUCUAUUAUGACAGUACAAUUUUAACUCAAUGAUUGAUCUUGAACACAAGUUUUAUUAGAAACGUGAAUAAGCAAUGCAUACCAGAGCUGUUUACUUAUUCAAUUUCCUGGCAGCUUUCUCAUGAGAUUUUGAAGAGUAUUUUGUUGAAGUUUUCACCCCAUCACUUGUAAAAUUAUCCUGUCAGCUGCAUUCACUCGGAUGUGUGCCACUUCUGUGGAAACAAUUAGUCUUACAACUUGGGCCUAGUGUCAAUUGUGAUACUAAUUAGCUCGUUGGCAUUUCAACUGUCAGUUAUGAUCUUGUGUUAUUCUCAUUUUCAUUGUUGUAUCUUUUCUCACCUUCUCUUCCACUUUAUAUUAAAAACCUUGUUUGGCUAGGGAUUUCUAUGUAUAUCCUUGCUGCCUACUCCAAUUAUGCAUUUUUUUUAUUAAUAAUAUGCUGAGUUACUUAUCCAAAAGUGGGGAAAAAAUAAUUUUCUGCAGACUGAACAGAAGCAAUGAGGCUUGGUAUCAAUGGACCUUGGAUCACCAAAUCAUAUCUUGAAAUGAUCCUUGAUAAAAAAAGGUGUUCCUCAUCAUAAGAAGGCGCGUGGUUGUUUUUGAUAAAUUCCUACAAAACAUGUGCAUGCUUACACAAGGAUUAACAGCUUCAAUUUUUCUAAAAAAAAUUUUACUAAUAUAAGAUUAUCUCCUUGCUUCUGAAUUGGUUACGUGUGAAACUCUAUCUCAUGUAUCAAUAAAUGCGUUCCUCAACGUUGAUUGGUCACUGAUUGAGAAGACUAGAAGAAAUACAUUUGUCCCCUGGAAGUCAAGGCACUGCAAUCAUUGCACCAAAACCAAUUCGCGCGACUCUUGACCUUGUUAAGAGAUUGGAGGAUUUGUCUCAGCCAUGGACUCGGGGCCUCAACUGAUCAAAUGGCUAUUUUGCUCGCAAAACCUUUGUUAAAUUGUCUUUGUAAAGUUCUAGUCCAAACACAGUGGGGGAGGAGAGUUAGCUAGAAGAGCUUGUUUGUAACUCGCAUUCUAUAUUAUACAUUUAUUUUUAUUAUAUAAUAUUUGA